ACCCGGUGCGGCCCCUCGGCCUCGGCGGCAGCGGCUGCGGAGAAGGCGAGCGAAGGACACAGAGCACAGCCAAGACCUGCAGAGUGCCCUCAUCCGGCUGGAGGAGGAGCCGCAGAGGAGUGCCAGCCUGGCCCAGGUGAAAGCCAUGCUCCGAGAACAUCUGGACCAGGCAGGCUCGGCCAACCAGGCUCUGAGUGAGGACAUACAAAAGGUGACCAAUGACUGGACACGCAGCCGCAAGGAGCUGGAGCAGCGGGAGGCGGCAUGGAGGCGCGAGGAGGAGGACCUGCUGCAGCUGGGAGGGGAGCUGGCCCGGACAUCACGAGCUGUCCAGGAGGCGGGCCUGGGACUGAGCACGGGCCUGUGGCUGGCAGAGAGCCGGGCCAAGGCAGCCCUGGAGAAGCAGGCCCUGCUGCAGGCCCAGCUGGAGGAGCAGCUGCGGGACAAGGUGCUCCACUAGAAGGACCUGGCCCAGCAGCAGAUGCAAAGUGACCUGGACAAGGCUGACCUCAGUGCCAGAGUGACAGAGCUGGGCCUGGCAGUGAAGCGUCUUCAGAAGCAGAAUCCGGAGAAGGAUCAGGUCAACACGGACCUCACUGAGAAGCUUGAGGCCCUGGAAUCCCUGCGGCUACAGGAGCAGGUGGCCCUGGAGACAGAGGACGGAGAGGGGCUACAGCAGAGCCUAAGGGACCUGGCACAGUCCGUCCUGUCGGACACAGAGCGGCGUCCAGCUGAGCGGCUCCGAGCGCACCGCGGAUGACUCCUUCGGCAGCCUGCGGGGGCUCUCGGCCCAGCAGACCCCGUCCCCACCGCGGCGCUCCUCGCCCGGCCGAGGCCGUUCACCCCGCCGAGGCCCCUCCCCGGCCUGCUCAGACUCCUCCACGCUCGCCCUGAUCCACUCCACCUUACACAAGCACGAGCUGCAGGUCCAGGACAUGCGUGGGCGCUAUGAGGCAAGCCAGGACCUGCUGGGCACCCUGCGGAAGCAGCUUAGCGACAGCGAGAGUGAGCGGCGGGCCCUAGAGGAACAGCUGCAGCGCCUGCGGGACAAGACCGACAGCACCAUGCAGGCCCACGAGGACGCCCAGCGCGAGGUGCAGCGGCUGCGGAGCGCCAAAGAGCUCCUGAGAAGGGAGAAGAGCAACCUGGCCCACAGCCUGCAGGUGGCCCAGCAGCAGGCCAAGGAGCUGCGGCAGGAGCGGAAGAAGCUGCAGGCUGCCCAGGAGGAGCUGCGGCGCCAGCGGUACUGGCUGGGGGAAGAGCAGGAGGACGCAGUGCAGGAUGGUGUGCGGGUGCGCCGGGAGCUUGAGCACAGCCAUAGACAACUGGAGCAGCUGGAAGGGAAGCGCUCAGUCCUGGCCAAGGAGCUGGUGGAGGUGAGGGAGGCGCUGAGCCGCGCCACACUGCAACGGGACAUGCUGCAGGCCGAGAAGGCCGAGGUGGCCGAGGCGCUGACCAAGGCUGAGGGCAGAGGAGGCCUCCCUGCAGGACUCCCUGUCCAAGCUGAGCGCCCUCAACGAGAGCCUUGCUCAGGACAAGUUGGAUCUGAACCGCCUUGUCACCCAGGCCACAGCUGGAGGAAGAAAAGUGCGCCCUGCAGGGCCGGCAGCGGCAGGCGAAGCAGGAGGCCACAGUGGCACGGGAAGAGCAGGAGCGGCUGGAGGCGCUGCGGUUGGAACAGGAGGUGGCGCGGCAGGGCCUGGAGGGCUCCCUAUGAGCGGCGGAGCAGGCCCAGGAGGCAGUGGAGCAGCAGCUCCCCACGCUGCAUCAUGAGUGCAGCCGGCUGCAGGAGCAGCUAGCGCAGGCCCUCCACUCAGGGUGUCAACAGAGGUGGAUCAGAUGAGAAACCUGGAUUUCUACACACACCUGGCUACAAUGAGAUGGCACCACUCCCCUCCCCUGCAGAAGCAGACUCAGAAAAAGGUAGUUAAAACAGAAGGUUUCAAUAAAAUCGACAGUCUGAUAACAUAA
ensembl:lncRNA CROCCP3 CROCC pseudogene 3